rnacentral:tRNA from 1 species
GAGGGCGUAGCUCAGCCCGGUAGAGCAACGGCUUUUUAAGCCGUGGGCCGAGGGUUCGAAUCCCUCCGCCCUCA